UACGGAGGGUGCAAGCGUUGCUCGGAAUUACUGGGCGUAAAGCGCGUGUAGGUGGUCUGCUAUGUCUCGUGUGAAAGCCCUCUGCCUAACGGAGGAUGUGCGCGAGAAACUGGCGGACUUUGAGUGCGGGAGAAAAGGGCGGAAUUCCCGGUGUAGAGGUGAAAUUCGUAGAUAUCGGGAGGAACACCAGUAGCGAAAGCGGCUCUUUAGACCGACACUGACACUCUGACGCGAAAGCGUGGGGAGCAAACAGG
rnacentral:rRNA from 1 species